rnacentral:pre_miRNA from 1 species
UCGACGUCUUGUAAACCCUGAGAUGGGGAACGAUAAAAAAACGUCCGUUUUUUUUAUCGUUCCCCGUCUCAGGGUUUACAAGAUGUCGAAAG